rnacentral:rRNA from 1 species
UCGGGAAUUUUGGGCAAUGGGCGAAAGCCUGACCCAGCAACGCCGCGUGAGUGACGAAGGCCUUAGGGUUGUAAAGCUCUUUUGGCGGGGACGAUAAUGACGGUACCCGCAGAAUAAGCUCCGGCUAACUUCGUGCCAGCAGCCGCGGUAAUACGAAGGGAGCUAGCGUUGUUCGGAAUCACUGGGCGUAAAGCGCACGUAGGCGGAUCGUUAAGUCGGGGGUGAAAUCCCGGGGCUCAACCCCGGAACUGCCUUCGAUACUGGCGGUCUCGAGUCCGAGAGAGGUGGGUGGAAUUCCUAGUGUAGAGGUGAAAUUCGUAGAUAUUAGGAAGAACACCGGUGGCGAAGGCGGCCCACUGGCUCGGUACUGACGCUGAGGUGCGAAAGCGUGGGGAGCAAACAGGAUUAGAUACCCUCGUAGUCCCUGAGCGGGCUGGCAAGGCGCAU